rnacentral:rRNA from 1 species
AGUUUUUUUUUUAAAAAAAACCCCACCUUUUUUUUUAAAAAUAAAAAGGGGGGGGGGGGGGAAAAUUUUUUUGGGUUUUCCACCCCCGCCCGGGGGGUAAAAACCCAGCCCCCCUCAAAGGUGUUCCGGGGAUGUUUUUUUGGGCCUUAAAAGCCUUCCUUUCCCCGGCUUUUGUUUAUUUUUUGGUUUAAAUCCAAUUGGUCAACCACAUGGGCUUGUUGAAAAUUACUGCAUAGUUAGGGAGUGGGGAGAGGUGGACGGUACUCUGUAGGAAGGGGUAAAAUCCUUUGUUCUAUAGAUGACCACCAGUGGGCGAAGGCGGUUUACAGAAACAUGUCUGACGGUGAGGGAUGAAAGCUGGGGGAGCAAACCGGAUUAGAUACCCGGGUAGUCCCAGCUGUAAACGAUGCAAACUCAGUGAUGCAUUGGCUUGUGGCCAGUGCAGUGCCGCAGAGAAGUCGUUAAGUUUGCCGCCUGGGAAGUACGUACGCAAGUAUGAAACUUAAAGGAAUUGGCGGGGGAGCACCACAAGGGGUGAAGCCUGCGGUUCAAUUGGAGUCAACGCCAGAAAUCUUACCCGGAGAGACAGCAGAAUGAAGGUCAAGCUGAAGACUUUACCAGACAAGCUGAGAAGUGGUGCAUGGCCGUCGCCAGCUCGUGCCGUGAGGUGUCCUGUUAAGUCAGGUAACGAGCGAGAUCCCUACCUCUAGUUGCCACCAUUACUCUCAGGAGUAGUGGGGCGAAUUAGCGGGACUGCCGCAGUUAAUGCGGAGGAAGGAGGGGGCCACGGCAGGUCAGUAUGCCCUGAAACUCUGGGGCCACACGCGGGCUGCAAUGGUAGUUACAGUGAGUUCCGAAUCCGAAAGGAGGAGGUAAUCUUCAAACGCUACCACAGUUAUGAUUGAGGGCUGUAACUCGCCCUCAUGAAUAUGGAAUCCCUAGUAACUGCGUGUCAUUACCGCGCGGUGAAUACGUCCCUGCUCCUUGCACACACCGCCCGUCGUUUCAUUGAAGUUUGCUUUUAGUGAGGUGACGUCUUCUUGGCGUUAUCGAACUUGAGGUAAGCGACAAGGGAAAAGUCGUAACAAGGUAACC